AGGUAAGCUACUAAGUGCAAUCGGUGGAUGCCUGGGCACCAAGAGCCGAUGAAGGACGUGGGAAUCUGCGAUAUGCCUCGGGGAGUCGAUAACCAGGCUGUGAUCCGGGGAUUUCCGAAUAGGGAAACCUUGAAGUUACCGGAGUUAUGUCCGGCGACCUCUGCCUGAAUGUAUAGGGCAGUUGGAGGGAACGCGGGGAAGUGAAACAUCUUAGUACCCGUAGGAGAAGAAAACAAUUGUGAUUCCGUGAGUAGUGGCGAGCGAAAGCGGAGGAGGCUAAACCAUGCGUGUGUGUGAGCCGGCAGGUGUUGCAUGUGUGGGGUUGUGGGACUGUUUGAACCUUGCUGCCGUGGGGUUGACGAGUGAUAAAUGACUGUUGAAGUGGAAGCAUUCUGGGAAGGUGCGGUAGAGAAGGUGAAACCCCUGUAGACGUAAGACAGUCACUCGUGAAUGGUAUCCCAAGUAAUGCGGAACUCCUGAAAUUCUGCAUGAAUCUGGCGGGACCACCCGUUAAGCCUAAAUACUCCUUGGUGACCGAUAGCGGACAAGUACCGUGAGGGAAAGGUGAAAAGUACCCCGGGAGGGGAGUGAAAUAGUACCUGAAACCGGUUGCAUACAAUCCGUCGGAGCGACGGCUUUUGGUCAUUGUGACGGCGUGCCUUUUGAAGAAUGAGCCUGCGAGUUAGUGGUGUGUGGCGAGGUUAACCCGGGUGGGGUAGCCGUAGCGAAAGCGAGUCCGAAUAGGGCGAUUUGAGUCGCAUGCUCUAGACCCGAAGCGGUGUGAUCUAUCCAUGGCCAGGGUGAAGCGACGGUAAGACGUCGUGGAGGCCCGAACCGACCAGGGUUGAAAACCUGGCGGAUGAGCUGUGGAUAGGGGUGAAAGGCCAAUCAAACACCGUGAUAGCUGGUUCUCCCCGAAAUGCAUUUAGGUGCAGCGUUGCGUGUUUCUUGCCGGAGGUAGAGCACUGGAUGGUCUAGGGGGCUUACCAGCUUACUGAAAUCAGCCAAACUCCGAAUGCCGGUAAGUGAGAGCGUGGCAGUGAGACUGCGGGCGAUAAGGUUCGUAGUCGAGAGGGAAACAGCCCAGAUCAUCAGCUAAGGCCCCUAAGCGGUAACUAAGUGGAAAAGGAUGUGGAGUUGCGGUGACAACCAGGAGGUUGGCUUGGAAGCAGCCAUCCUUGAAAGAGUGCGUAAUAGCUCACUGGUCAAGUGAUUCUGCGCCGACAAUUUAGCGGGGCUCAAGUUAUCCGCCGAAGCUGUGGCAAUCACACGAUGCCUGAUUCCUUGUGGAUCCAGGUGUGUGGUUGGGUAGGGGAGCGUCGGGUGUGCGGGGAAGCGUUGGGGUGACCUGGCGUGGAGUGCACUCGAGUGAGAAUGCAGGCAUGAGUAGCGAAUGACGGGUGAGAAACCCGUCCGCCGAAUAUCCAAGGGUUCCAGGGUCAAGCUAAUCUGCCCUGGGUGAGUCGGGACCUAAGGCGAGGCCGACAGGCGUAGUCGAUGGACAACGGGUUGAUAUUCCCGUACCGGCGGAGCAACGCCCGUGUCGAAUCGCGUGAUGCUAAGCACGCAAGCUGUCCUGGCGCGCCUUCGGGUGUGUGGGGUGGUGAGUCUGUGAACCGAUCGUGUAGUAGGCAAGCUGCGGAGGGACGCAGGGAGGUAGCCGUACCGGGUGAUGGUUGUCCCGGGGUAAGUGUUCGAGGGUGUCGGGUAGGUAAAUCCGUCCGGCAUAUAGCCUGAGGCAUGAUGCAUAGACCGUUAAUGGUUGAAUUCGGUGAUCCUGUGCUGCCUAGAAAAUCUUCGUGAGCGAGUUGUGAGCCGCCCGUACCCUAAACCGACACAGGUGGAUGAGUAGAGAAUACUAAGGCGAUCGAGAUAAUCGUGGUGAAGGAACUCGGCAAAAUACCCCCGUAACUUCGGGAUAAGGGGGACCGGAGGGGUGCAAGCCCUGAGGGUCGCAGAGACCACGCCCAAGCGACUGUUUACCAAAAACACAGGUCCGUGCCAAGUUGUAAGACGAUGUAUACGGACUGACUCCUGCCCGGUGCUGGAAGGUUAAGGGGAACUGUUAGCGUAUGCGAAGCGGUGAACUUAAGCCCCAGUAAACGGCGGUGGUAACUAUAACCAUCCUAAGGUAGCGAAAUUCCUUGUCGGGUAAGUUCCGACCUGCACGAAUGGAGUAACGAUUUGGGCACUGUCUCCACCACGAACUCGGCGAAAUUGCAUUACGAGUAAAGAUGCUCGUUACGCGCAGCAGGACGGAAAGACCCCGGGACCUUUACUAUAGUUUGGUAUUGGUGAUCGGGACGACUUGUGUAGGAUAGGUGGGAGACUGUGAAAUCAUCACGCUAGUGGUGGUGGAGUCAUCGUUGAAAUACCACUCUGGUCGUUCUGGUUAUCUAACCUGGGACCAUGAUCUGGUUCAGGGACAGUGCCUGAUGGGUAGUUUGACUGGGGCGGUCGCCUCCUAAAAGGUAACGGAGGCGCCCAAAGGUUCCCUCAGCCUGGUUGGCAAUCAGGUGUUGAGUGUAAAUGCACAAGGGAGCUUGACUGUGAGACAGACAUGUCGAGCAGGGACGAAAGUCGGGAUUAGUGAUCUUACGGUGGCAGGUGGAAGCGCCGUAACUCAACGGAUAAAAGGUACCCCGGGGAUAACAGGCUGAUCUUGCCCGAGCGCUCACAGCGACGGCAUGGUUUGGCACCUCGAUGUCGGCUCGUCGCAUCCUGGGGCUGGAGUCGGUCCCAAGGGUUGGGCUGUUCGCCCAUUAAAGCGGCACGCGAGCUGGGUUCAGAACGUCGUGAGACAGUUCGGUCCCUAUCCGCUGCGCGCGUAGGAAUCUUGAGAAGAGCUGUCCUUAGUACGAGAGGACCGGGACGGACUAACCUCUGGUGUGCCAGUUGUUCUGCCAAGAGCACGGCUGGUUGGCUACGUUGGGAAGUGAUAACCGCUGAAAGCAUCUAAGUGGGAAGCACGCUUCAAGAUGAGGAUUCCCACACCCUUGCGAGGGUGGUAAGGUCCCCGACAGAUCAUCGGGUUGAUAGGCCGGACGUGGAAGCACAGUAAUGUGUGGAGCUGACCGGUACUAAUAGACCGAGGGCUUACCCCC
rnacentral:rRNA from 1 species